GCAAGGCGCCAGCUCUUGCUUUGUCCUCAGCCAGCCUCCUGCUCCCUCAUCACAAACCACGCUCGUGGAACUGAAGCCUGCUCGGUUUCCACACUCGCGGUAAGUUCGAUCUGCUCUGUCGCAAGUUUCCUCCCUCACAUCCGUGAUCUACGUAAUUGCCCCCGGCGCUCUUACAUGCGGACACUGAAACGAAGCCGCGGCCGGUCACAGCUGCCAGCGGGGCUGCGUCGUCCUCACACCCGGCUGGGUCCAAGCUGUCGUCAGGCUGUCAUGGAAGGCAGAGCGGGGACGAGAGGCAAACCUGUAGGCAGUAUGCCCGCCACACAGACUCACCAGAGCAAAGAGCCUCACCAGCUCGGAUGAUAGGAAAAGCUGUGACUGACCAGAGAAAUGCAACAGCCCGUCCUUGGGAGCCGGUCCAAGCCGACUCCUGAGCUGGGGCCACACAUCCUUGCGCUUGGGGAACGGCUGGGCUGGCAGAGGCCUUGGCCACGGCACGUGGUCCCCUCACAUCCUAUGUGGAUGGAGAACCGGCGGCCUUCGGCUUACCCGGGACCAGAGGUGGUGCCUGUCCGAGACAGCAGCGGCUCCCUCUGCAUCCUGCUCCCGGAGUGUGGUAUCCCCCACGGCCACAUGCCCUGGGAGCGUGUUCACAACACAACGUCUCAGGCCUCCUCCAGACCUGCCCACUAGGGAAACUACAACCUCCAGGUGAUUCCCAAGCACAGGAAGGUCGGAAGCUGAAUCACCGGGGCCCAACCCCUGAGCACAGCGAGUGGCUUUGAAAGAUCUGCAGGUGAUUGAACGCAGAACCCAGACCAAGUGACUCGGGUCGACCCCAUGCCCUCCGGGAUGCCCCUGUCAGAAGGUCACCUUGGACAUCAAGGCUCUGACGCCAACUCUUUCUGAGAAGCAGGGUGACGCCAGCUGUGCCUGGAGGGGAUGCAGGACAGUGACCCCGGGGGCUGGAAGGGAGCGAGGCCUGCCCGUGUUCUCCCAACCGCGAGGAGCGAGGACCCCCUGACCCUGAACUUCUGAGCUCUACCCCCCACUCCGUUCUUUGGGGACAGUGGGAGCCAUGGGGAAACCAGCAGAGCAGCGAACUCACAGCCUCCGUUUGAUGCCGAUCGUGCGCCAGCUCUGCUCUGCUCCUGACCCCCUGGCCCUGAAGAGCUGGUCUUGAAAGUGUCGUUGCCACAGGAGGCCCCCGCAUUGUGAUCACCGGCUCCCUCCACGCCCUCCUUGGGAGCCUCCUGCGGUAACUGUCUUUAUCUUUUCCGAUGUGAGGUACUUUACAAAAAUACUCAGCAAAUAUUUCAGCAAAACGCAGGUCCCAAAAUAGGCAUUCUACCCAGUGUAAGUCAUGGUCACCAGUGUUCCUCCGAAACGCCCAAAAUAGCGUCUGGGUGGCAGUUCUCCGAGCAGCUAACCUAGUUAGAAGCUGUCAGCUUGUGCCUCGCGUCCUGCCCACAGGGAUGGAGGGAAGUUCAUGCGUUUGAAUCUGGUCCCAGCCAUGAUCCAGGAAACAAAGGGGCAGCUCUGCACCCGCUGUGGGGAGAGCACACCUGUACCGGAGGGAGGGGGCAUCCCCCGUCCCUGUGACACGCUGCAGGGCACGAAGACAAUGGCAUGAACAUCUCUGGGUACCUGAGGCGGCAGCGCCCAGCUCGGCUGGAUUUGUCAGGACUUUCUGGCUCGGCAUGAAGAAGGCCCAUGUCCCGCAAACCCUCCCGGUCCUGGGUGAGGCAGAACCACUGGUCGUCCUGGGGGACAGCCCAAAGCCACUCCUCCUAUGAUCUGGCAAAGGAGCCUCAGCUGAGAGUCGUGAUGGAAUUUGAGAAAAUCUAAAAUUAAAACAGAGAAGCGGACAGAGCGUACGUGUACAUGAGUCAGAGGGGAACAGCCAUUCACCGAACCCCCAUUUUAGGAAGAGACAGGGCAGAGCCAGGGCCGUUUCCAGGCCUGCAGAGCUAAGACGAGGGCCCCCCGCCAAGUGCCGUCGGGUGCCUGCCAAGGGCUCUGGGGAGCUGAGGCCGGCCCCGGCCAGCCCAGCCAGGGGGAGCCGUGUGGGAGACGGAAGAGGGGCUGAGCCACAGUCAGGAGGGGACCUGCCUGCCGCCGGCCUGUCCCCUGUCCCACCCGGGCGCGGAACCCGCAGGAGGGGAGAGAGGCCCCGGGCAGCGACCAGCGGCCGCACACUCUUCGUGGCUCAAGGGAAAAGAAAACUUUCACUGCACGUUUCUCUUUAUUAUAAAAGGAUUACACUGAUAAUGAGGGAGUGUGGGAAGCCCAGCAGCAGAUAAAGAAGCGGCUUAAACCCUCACAGGGCAUCGCCGCCCUGAACACAGCCCCUGCAGUGUCACCGGACGUUUCCUUCCUGCCAAAGCCCGGGUCUGCCGCCCUGUCCCAGCCCAGUUCUGUUUCGAAAAUCACUUUCCAAGAAUAAUCGAAAGCAGCUGAGAUCUUCCCAGGAGAACCUCAGAGUCAAAGGGAAUCCAGUUUGCAAUCUGCCCAAGCACUUCUUCCCGUCCCGUCCCGUUCCCAGUCUCUGGUCACCUGCUGGCCUGCUCCUCCCUGUCCCUCCCACCCCCCAGCAGUCUGUCAGCCCCAACCCCAACCCCAAGGGGUCCCCGGGUCUCUCUUCCUCGUUUGACAGGCUCCGCUCCUUUCCCAGCAUUAAAUUAGGGGGACUUGCUUCACUCUGCGUUCAUCCUUUCUUCCCACCCAUUUGCCGGCCCUCCCAGGCCGUGCUGGCCUAGCAGACCCCCUCCCUCCCCGGGAGCUUGGGGGAGGGGAAGGCAGAAUGUUCCUUCCAGUUCAAGGGGAGGAAAAGGAAGAGUAUCAUGAAAUAUGCAAAUGCCUGUCAUGUAACAGC